GACGAACGCUGGCGGCGUGCCUAAUACAUGCAAGUAGGACGCAGUUGCGAACGGGUGAGUAACGCGUAGGUAACUACCUAUUAGAGGGGGAUAACUAUUGGAAACGAUAGCUAAUACCGCAUACUAGUAGAUGGACCUGCGUUGUAUUAGCUAGUAGGUAGGGUAAUGGCCUACCUAGGCAACGAUACAUAGCCGACCUGGAAAGGUGAGCGGCCAACCUGGGACUGGAACACGGCCCCGACCACCACGGGAGGCAGCAGUAGGGAAUCUUCGGCAAUGGGGGGAACCCUGACCGAGCCAAGCCGCGUGAGUGAAGAAGGUUUUCGGAUCGUAAAGCUCUGUUGUUAAGGAAGCGGUACUUAACCAGAAAGGAACGGCUAACUACGUGCCAGCAGCCGCGGUAAUAC
rnacentral:rRNA from 1 species